GGUGAACGCUGGCGGCGUGCUUAAGACAUGCAAGUCGAACGGCAGUCUUCGGACUGUAGUGGCGCACGGGUGAGUAACGCGUAACUGACCUACCCCAAAGUCGCGGAUAACGAUUCGAAAGAAUCGCUAAUACGUGAUGUGCUGUCAGAUUGUGUUCUGCCAGUAAAGAUUGAUUGCUUUGGGAUGGGGUUGCGUUCCAUCAGCUAGUUGGUGGGGUAAAGGCCCACCAAGGCGACGACGGAGAGCCGGCCUGAGAGGGUGGCCGGCCACAGGGGCACUGAGCAACGGGUCCCACUCCUACGGGAGGCAGCAGUUAGGAAUCUUCCACAAUGGGCGAAAGCCUGAUGGAGCGACGCCGCGUGAGGGAUGAAGGUCGUCGGAUCGUAAACCUCUGAAUCAGGGACGAAAGACACUUCGGUGGGAUGACGGUACCUGAGUAAUAGCACCGGCUAACUCCGUGCCAGCAGCCGCCGCAGUAA
rnacentral:rRNA from 1 species